rnacentral:lncRNA from 1 species
GGAGUCCUCCUGACUCUCAUCAUCUGCAUCCUCAAAGUUCUCUUCCUCAGUAUUCGGAGCUCUAGCUGCUCCGAACCCACUACUCUGCGCCUGCUGCUCAGGCCAUGCCACAGUUGUAUGAAACUCGUCCAUAGUCCACCUGUGUACAGGUGGCUGGUCAUAAAGUCCAAUGAUCAUCUCAACAGUAACCACCUGCCCUCUGUGAAGGGCCUCUAUCCGGGCCUCCAUCAUGGACAUGUACAUGUCCCUCAUCUGGAAGGGCUCCGCGUGCUGAACUGGUACCUCAUCGGGCACCUGCUCCUGCUGAGCUACAGCUCUCCUACGACGCCUCC